ACACACACUAGUAAAAGUAUUCAUCUUCCACCUUGGGCAGAGAGCAGAUGCACACUUCCCUACACCUGCAGGAGCACUGUUUCAAUGGCCUCCCCACAUAUUCCCACCCCUUUUAACACACUUUCCUUUUUCUGUGGAAAAGGGGAAGUUUAUUUGCCGAGGAAUACCCGUUUUAUCGGUGCAGAGGAAAGCACGGGAGGAAGACUUCAGGAAACACAGCAUUGUGCGGCAGCACAGCGAUAAGGAGAAAGAACAUUCCAUAAAUGUUUUGCUGCCUCAUUCUGACAGUAUGAGCAACACGUGCUGCUGUGCUUUAAAAGUGCUGCGCUGGUGCUGUGGACUCGUGGUCAUUGCCUGGCAACUGAGGUAGAAAGAAGGAGCGUGUCAGAUGCAGCCCACCAGGUCAGGAUAUAGCCCCGGUUUCCUGGGCCUGACCUUACCUGCUCAACUGAUAAACAGCACCUGGAUGAAGGUGUGUCUGCCCUGCAGAGGCAGCCGCACAGGCCCAGCCAGAUCAGUUGCAGUGGCAGUGAUGUGAGAUGGCUUACUGGCCUAGCCUUAGAGAUGGGAUAGCACAGAUUCUCUCCUGAGAAGCUACACAAUCAUUUAACAUGUCGCACCCAAAGGAGGAGAGAGAAGCCCUACUCAGCUAAAAAUACUGUUACCUCAGCAUGACACUGUCCAGUGACAGCAUAGGAAGGCUUUCGGGGGGCUCCACACCGCAGGUGCUUCUGCUUGAAUUGUGUUCUGUGAUUUCUGAUGUAAUAAAGACAACUUUUCUGCUCA